GAGCAGCGAGGGAGCAGUGGACGAGUGACAAGCGGCGAGGGAGCAGCGAACGAGAGUGGAGAAGUGGCGGUCGAGUGGUUGACGGCAAGGGAGCAAUGGACAAGAGGCAAGAAGUGAGGAAACAGUGAAUGAGAGCCAAUAAAAGGCCUGGUGGUGUCCAUGCUCUGGCUGAGAAUGGACCCAAACGUGACAGAUAAAACUGAACAUGAGGUUCUCUUUUGCUCUCUUGGUCUGUGACAACCAAUGAUGUGCAGCUUUGCUGGAAAAACCUGGUAGAUGUUGAGGUCCACUUGUACAGUUUUCUUUUACCAGAUGUUACUUCUCAAGAAGGGAAGUGGAAAUGUGGCCUGCUAUAUAUAAUAUCUACUUUUGUUCUAAAAUGCAUCAGAAAAUAUGUGCUGCAUAAUAUAUGUGGCAGUGAGUGAGUGCCUUUUUAUCCUGGAUAUGUGCAUUCAGAAGCCAUUAAUACACUGUAAAAUAAAUAUUUUCUGGACAUGAUAACAGAUUUUUUGACAAAUGUAUUUCUGCAUUACGAAAUAUACAUUGUGAAGCAGUCUUGAAAGGAUAUGUGGAUAAGAGCUGGAACCUUUACAUUGUCUGGAAAAUCCCCUCUAACAGGAGCCACAAGGACCAUAUGUAGGACCACAUGAAGAGAUGAGCUGUAAAUGGGAAUUGCAUAGCAGCAAUUGCAGCCAGAAUUGAGGGGCGGGGCAGGCAUAGGGCCAUGAAUAGUGACUAAAGUGAGGGUCAUUAUCUGCCUUUCUCCCUUGUGAACACAUCUGGCCUACUCGCAUACACAUGCUCCUCCCAUAGACAUACAUACACUCAUCCACACACAUUAAGGGAAGGAUGUCUUAUAGAAAGAGUUUUUCUCUUUGACAUCUCCUCUAUUGAACAGCUGACAGGAAGAUGCAUUUGCAGUCGCUGCAGUGUAUAUGAGGGGCAACUGGGAAGGGACCUAAGCAGAGACACUUAUAUAAGUCCAAAACUUGGAAAUUUAUUUUUAAAACAAUUAAAUACCAUUAUCGUCCCAAAGUCCUGAAACUACAGUUAUUAUUAUAGUUAUAAUUUUAAAUGUUGCUUUUUCCUUUCCUUUUUCAGCAAGCAUAAUCAAAACCUUGGCCAGAAUACUCUAUCACAGUUAUUAAUUUAUGCAUUUCUGUCCCCACUUACUAAGCAGUAGCCAUUGUGAUCGACAGGGGUUUUACUGUUGAUUGAGAAGGAGCUGACUGAUAUUUCUUUUACCACUAAUAUGUUAGAGGGGAUUGCAAGUGGAUGUUGUCUUCCUAUUACACCUGAGAUUUCUCAUGGGAGGGGGUGGAACUGUCGGACAACUAUUUUUCAAUGAACAUAGGAACAGCCCCAUGCUGAUCGCAGCAGCUACUUCCCGGUAAUUGAGGAUUGGGGGGAAUCAGGAUAGAAUGUGCUAUGUGGCAUUACAACCAUGGUGCUUAUGCACCAUGUCUACCCAUUUCUUUUAAUUACUUUUAGAAAUACUUAUAUUUAUGAGCUUUAUUUUUGUCCCGCAUUUCUCCCAAUAUAGGGACUUGAGGCAGCUAACAACAAACAUGGCACAAUACAAAGCAAACAUACUACAAAAAACACACACACACAAGCACACACAAUUAAACCUUGUUUGUCAUGGUACAUAAAUUAUUAAGAUGCUUUCAAAACUACACUUUAAAACUACAUGCCCCCACCCAAUCCAGCCCCCAAAUAGCAGACACCUCUUGUAAUAAUGGUUAGCUGCUAUAUAAGGCACACACUGAGUUCCAAAUACUAGGAGAAAAGGAGCAGAUACAUUUUCAGGGCCAGCCUUAGACAUGAUGGACACUUCCCAGAUAACUAAGCCAAAGAGGUAACUGAGCAACUUUGUGGAGUGCACUGUUGUAGGGUUGUCUUGUCAUGUAUCCUGUAUUACAUGGGACAUCCCUUAUUUGAAAGCAAAAAACACUCCACUUCUGCUGGUUUAGAUUAGCUCUGAAGAAUGUUACUUUUUUGGUUUCCGUCUUGACAUUAUUAUUUAUUUCAGAAAAAAGUAGCAUGGCUUUGGUCUUCCAGACUUACAAACCUACCAUGAGGCUUGCACAUUAGAUUGGGUAAUAGACUGGGUUAAAUUGGAAAAAAAAUAACUAUAGAGGGGUUUAAUUUAUGUUGGGGAUGGCAUGGCUAUCUAUGUUAUGACAAAAUGAAAGUAGAUAAAAAUUUCGGGAACCAUUUUGUGAGAUCGUCUCUGAUUAAAACAUGGUUAAAAUAUACAAGAUAUUUUUACAACAAAAUUCCAUUAUGGCUCUCUCCAUUAGAGGCAAGCCAACGGAGAUUACUCGGAUGGGAAAAUUGGCCGUCAUAUAAAGAAAUUAUAAGAAAAAUAAAAUAGAAUUCAGAAAAUCUAUCGAUUAAAGAAUUAGAAGAGAUCCAAAAAAAUUAUAAAAAUGUAUCUUGGUUCCAAUACCACCAAAUAAAAGAAAGUUAUAAAACAGACAAAGAGAUUGGAUUUAAUAUGACUAAUAGUUUUUGGGACGGUCUUCUAAAAAGAAAUAAAAAAGUAAUAAUGAUCUUAUAUAAUAAGAUACUUGAAUGGAAGACAGAAUCUGAAAUAGUAAAGGACUCAAUGUUAAAAUGGUCCAGAAAUGUGGGCAGAAGUAUAACCAUGGACGAAUGGGAAAAUAUCUGGAACAGAAAGAUGAAAUAUUGUUAUUCUAUAGAAUUAAAAGAAAAUUGGUUAAAAACAAUUCAUAGGUGGUAUCUAACACCAAAAAAACUUGGAUUAAUGUACAAAAAUAGAGAUAAGAAAUGUUGGCGAUGUAAAGAAAAGAUAGGGUCAUAUUUUCACGUUUGGUGGAAUUGUAAAAAAAUUAAAAAUGAUUGGAAAGAGAUCCAUAUGGAAUGUAAAAAAAUUCUAAAAAUUGGCCUUGCUUGUAAAUCGGAAUAUUACCUAUUAGGACUUUAUGAUAUGAAAAACAAGGAUAGAAUAUGCUCUCCAGGGGAAAAAGAAAAUAAAUCUAAAAUUUAUAUAUAUGCUGUAACAGCAGCAAGAAUAGUGAUAGCCAAAAAUUGGAAAAACCCUAAUUGCCCUACAAAAGCAAUGUGGUUAGAGAAAUUAAUGGAUAUAAAAUAUAGGGAUAAACUAACCUAUUUACUAAAAAGAAGCACCUGUAAGGCGAUGAAAGAAACAGACUGGUCCGAAUUUGAAGAAUACAUAGCGGAAGAACUGAAAGGAUAAGACAAGACGCAGUAUGGAAGAAAGAAGAUUGGAAGUCUACCCCUUCCCCCCUCCCCCAUUAGGCUACCUUUCCGGACAUGUGAAUUCAGACUCCUCCCCGAACUUUCCCUCUGACUCCCCCAAAACCUACCCUCUUACAAAUCGAUCUUUCAAUUCUUUUUAGUCCAAUCUCACCAACCCAAUACUCAUUCACCCCCUAUUAACCCUCCCUGACUAACCUAAACCCUUCCCUCCCCAUACCUUCCUUUAGCAAAACUAGAAGAUGUAAAUCUUUUAAAAAUAUUCUUUAAUAAAAAUGAUUUUUUUAAAAAAGAAAAAAAUAGCAGAACAUGCCUUUACUGUGAGGUGACUCUAUCCUGUUCUGUGACACUUUCAAUAUGAUAAAUAUUAUGGCUGGAACCUUGUUGGUGUCUAAUCCAUCCACAAGCUCCCUAUGACUGAUCAUUUUUUCCCAGUGUGGAACCUCUACAUUUCGUUAGCAUAUGUAUCAUAUGACAGUGCAAUUAUGGUUGCAUAAUACAUAGGUGAAAGUGCAUAUGCAUGCAUAUUGCUAUACAAGCAUCUUCAACAUCUCCGUUACUGGCCAGUAAGUUGCUGUUGCAGGGGCUGCUGCAAAUGCAAGGUGGGUUUGGGGGAGACUGGUUCUUGCAUGGUUGGCAAAGGAUCCCAACCAUUUCCACAACUGAAAAAAAAAAUUAGUUGUGCAGAUUAUAUUGGGCUUUCAUCUCUCUAUACAGGAAGGGCUCUGCUACUGUUUCCUUCCCCAAUCAACAUUCCUCAAUGAAUUACAGACAUUUCUGGAAAAGACUUAAAAAAUUACAUGAUGACAAAAUAUUGAAUGCUCACUAAAUAAACACUAUUUACAUAAGCAUCAGCAGUUGGGUAAUUAUUUUAGAACAAUAUAAUACGAUUAACAAUCAUAGGUUACAAAAUUACUGUGUCAGUAGGGAACUGCUACACCAGCAUUCUCUCUGUAAAGCAAUGUCUUCCACUGCUCACUCCUUAAUCAGCUUAAUACAGGGAAAGAGUGAGCUUCCUGCAGCUUGCAACUUAAGAAGUAGUCAGGUAUUUUCCAAGCCCAGUCCAAUUAUCUGCAUGGUCAGGGAGAGGAAGGGUGAAUGAGCUCAUCUACUCCUUUUGCUCCUAUAUGCUCUUAUCACCAAUUCUAUAACCUGGAAAAUCAAAGUCCUAAAUUGCAUAGAGUAGAGAAUAUUGAUUGAGUAGGGAGAGAAAUUCAGUUCCCAACAUACAGGGAAUCACUUGGUGUCGUGGAUAGGAGGGAUGUUGAACUGGAACCCACUGAAUGGGGAUGUAUGUGAGGGUCAUCCAUGUUCUCAAGAUCACUUGAUGGUAAUGAUGCAUGGAAGAAACCUGAACAGACUUUAUUUUAUAGGAAAAGGUCAGGGGUGGGCAACUUCCAAAAAUUAAAAUACAGUUGCCUGCUAGGAGAUGUGGAGGGCCAUCUGCAUCCACCUAUGAAAAAACCCUUCAAACACCUGGACCAUUUUAGGAAAAACAGAGGUAUUUUUGAAACAGUAAGUAACCCAGAAUUCCCAUCUAUAUUGGCUAGAAUGGUGUUCUAUGGGAGGGUGUGGAUGGACUGUAUUUUUCUCUGGAAAUUACUUGUAUCCUUCACAUAGCUUAGAGUGUUGAUAUGAAUAUGGCCUGAGAAAAUUGAGUCCAUAUAUCUAGACAUCCCAACAAUCAGGGUUCUCAUGCUUGAGCCAAUAGGCCUUCCUGUAUUGCCUCAUUUCUGUUUUUUAUGUAGUAGGUCGAUUAUGCUUAGUUUGGGCUCCUGUUGUAUGUCUAAAAAAUGAACAGUACAACAGGCAGCAGGGCAAAAGCAUUUGUGUGUCAACUCAUUUUCAACUCUAUAGUUUAAGUAAGAAUAACAACCUGAUACUAUUUUUCAAGUAACACAAACAAAUAUUGAUAAUAGCAGAUAUAUUAGAUGAUUGAGAAAGAGAAUGGGAAAAGAGGGAGGAAGUUUUACUCCUUUGUUUCAGCACUAGGACUUAAACCAAUGAGGGACCUGAAACAGUUAAAUUCUUUUACAAUCUGACCCAGGAAAGAAAGCAUCAUAUUCUAACAGAAUCAAUGAACAAUAUGAAAUAUGUUUGAAAAUUAUAAAUGUUAAUUAUAAAUGGCAACAAGUUAUGGAAAAAAGCUCCAUAAUUCUUCAUUAGUCUUACUCUUAAAGGAAUCAAUGAAUAUUUUUAGUAUUUUGUACCAAUUUUCAAGUCUUCAAAAGCUAUGUAUGAAGUUUUUGAAGCCUGCUCACAAUUAAGGACUUCUUCUGGUCAAAAUUUGUACAUAACUUUUUGUGCAAAAACCAGCUUUUUUGUUCACAAAAUGCUGCUUUUAUCAUAUUAUUUUCUGCUCACCAAAAAUACAUGUGAAUUUGUGUGUUGCAUAAGUUCCUAGCUGGUUCUUGGUUUUUAAAAGCAUUUUCCAAAUAUUUUUUAAUAUUCUUAGCAUUUUUAAGAAUCAAGCCUCCCUUGGUCAUCCAACAAAUGGGCUGUGAUUAACAGAAGAUUGUAAUGGAUUGUUUGAAUAAUGUUGAUUGCCUGUUUAGUGGGACCAAAUCUGAACCCUUCCUCUCUUCUCUGAUCCAGCACUGAAUCUUUCAGGCCACUGAUGUCAAAAUCAAGGGCAGCACCUCUUUACUGGGUGAGGAACUGUGUGCAUUACAUUUAGUAUGGCUGGGGG